rnacentral:rRNA from 1 species
GACGAACGCUGGCGGCGUGCUUAACACAUGCAAGUCGAACGGAAAGGCCCUGCUUUUGUGGGGUGCUCGAGUGGCGAACGGGUGAGUAACACGUGAGUAACCUGCCCUUGACUUUGGGAUAACUUCAGGAAACUGGGGCUAAUACCGGAUAGGAGCUCCUGCUGCAUGGUGGGGGUUGGAAAGUUUCGGCGGUUGGGGAUGGACUCGCGGCUUAUCAGCUUGUUGGUGGGGUAGUGGCUUACCAAGGCUUUGACGGGUAGCCGGCCUGAGAGGGUGACCGGCCACAUUGGGACUGAGAUACGGCCCAGACUCCUACGGGAGGCAGAAGUGGGGAAUAUUGCACAAUGGGCGGAAGCCUGAUGCAGCGACGCCGCGUGCGGGAUGACGGCCUUCGGGUUGUAAACCGCUUUCGCCUGUGACGAAGCGUGAGUGACGGUAAUGGGUAAAGAAGCACCGGCUAACUACGUG